CAAUGAAAUUGAUCUCCCCGUGCAGAAGCGGGGAUAAACACAUAAGACGAGAAGACCCUGUGGAGCUUAAGACAACAAGACCAACCUGUCAAAAAUAACAAAACAAAGCUAAACGAACUAAAUGGCCCUGUCCUUGUGUCUUCGGUUGGGGCGACCAUGGGGAACUAAAAAACCCCCACGUGGAACAAGAGCACCUCUACUCUCACAAACCAGAGGGACACCUCUAAUUAACAGAACUUCUGACCUAAAAUGACCCGGCUUAAGCCGAUCAACGAACCAAGUUACCCCAGGGAUAACAGCGCAAUCCCCUUCCAGAGCCCAUAUCGACAAGGGGGUUUACGACCUCGAUGUUGGAUCAGGACAUCCUAGUGGUGCAGCAGCUACUAAGGGUUCGUUUGUUCAACGAUUAAAGUCCUACGUGAUCUGAGUUCAGAC
rnacentral:rRNA from 1 species